AUACGUAGGGGGCGAGCGUUGUCCGGAAUGAUUGGGCGUAAAGGGCGCGUAGGCGGCCCGGUAAGUCUGGAGUGAAAGCCCUGUUUUUAAGAUGGGAAUUGCUUUGGAUACUGUCGGGCUUGAGUGCAGGAGCGGUAAGUGGAAUUCCCAGUGUAGCGGUGAAAUGCGUAGAGAUUGGGAGGAACACCAGUGGCGAAGGCGACUUACUGGACUGUAACUGACGCUGAGGCGCGAAAGUGUGGGGAGCAAACAGGAUUAGAUACCCUGGUAGUCCACACUGUAAACGAUGAAUGCUAGGUGUAGGGGGUAUCGACCCCUUCUGUGCCGCAGUCAACACAAUAAGCAUUCCGCCUGGGGAGUACGGCCGCAAGGUUGAAACUCAAAUGAAUUGACGGGG
rnacentral:rRNA from 1 species